rnacentral:rRNA from 1 species
UACACACCGCCCGUCACACCAUGGGAGUCGGUUGCUCCAGAAGUGGAUACGCCAACCCGCAAGGGAGGCAGUCCCCCCAAGGAGUGGCUGGUAACUGGGGUG